UACGUAGGCAGCGAGCGUUGUCCGGAAUCACUGGGCGUAAAGGGUGCGUAGGCGGCGCGGUAAGUCGGGUGUGAAAUCUCGGAGCUUAACUCCGAAACUGCAUUCGAUACUGCCGUGCUUGAGGACUGGAGAGGAGACUGGAAUUUACGGUGUAGCGGUGAAAUGCGUAGAUAUCGUAAGGAAGACCAGUGGCGAAGGCGGGUCUCUGGACAGUUCCUGACGCUGAGGCACGAAGGCCAGGGGAGCAAACGGG
rnacentral:rRNA from 1 species